rnacentral:rRNA from 1 species
UACGGAGGAUCCAAGCGUUAUCCGGAUUUAUUGGGUUUAAAGGGUGCGUAGGCGGUCUUUUAAGUCAGUGCUGAAAUACUCCAGCUUAACUGGAGGGGUGGCAUUGAUACUGGAAGACUUGAGUGUAGUCGAGGUAGGCGGAAUUGACGGUGUAGCGGUGAAAUGCUUAGAUAUCGUCAAGAACACCGAUAGUGAAGACAGCUUACUAGGCUACAACUGACGCUGAGGCACGAAAGUGUGGGGAUCAAACAGG